GGGGGCGUUCCCACCGCUGCCAGGGCGGGCAGUGUCUGUCUUACGUCUGCGAUGCGUCAUCAGUCUGCGCUGAGCGCACUUUUGGCCGUUGCGCUCAGGGCAGCGGUUACCUUGUCACAGCAAUGAGCUGUGCGGGGGCGGCGGCGGUUCGCUCCCUGUGGCGGCUGCGCACGGGCGCCCUGCGGCCUCUCCCAGCUUAUGGAAGAAGAAUCAGUGUCAGAUUUUACAGUUCAGGAAUGACCUUAGACAAUAUCAAUUGGGCAGCUAUGGAUCGAAUAAUCCGGGUGGAUCAUGCAGGUGAAUAUGGAGCGAACCGAAUCUACGCAGGGCAGAUGGCCGUCCUGGGUCGGACAAGUGUCGGGCCAGUCAUUCAGAAAAUGUGGGAUCAAGAAAAGGACCACUUGAAAAAGUUCAACGAGUUGAUGGUUGCAUUUAGGGUGCGGCCCACCAUUCUGAUGCCCUUCUGGAACGUGGUGGGGUUUGCACUGGGUGCAGGAACCGCCCUGCUUGGGAAGGAGGGAGCAAUGGCCUGCACUGUGGCUGUGGAAGAGUCUAUAGCACAUCACUACAACAACCAGAUCAGGACGUUGAUGGAGGAGGAUCCUGAAAAAUAUGAGGAACUUCUUCAGGUGAUAAGGAAAUUUCGGGAUGAAGAGCUCGAGCACCAUGACAUAGGCCUUGAACAUGACGCACAGCUGGCUCCAGCAUAUGCUGUUUUGAAGAACGUUAUCCAGGCCGGAUGCCGCGUGGCAAUAUAUUUAUCAGAAAGGUUUUAAACACCUGCUUCAGAACUGAUGGCUGAUGUUUUAUGCUUCUGAGAGCUUCCAGAACAAGACCAGAGAGAUUUUCUGAAUCCUCCCGGGAUUGUUUAUAAUUCCAUUACAGAUUGUCCUCGUGUAUUAACAAGAGACCUAUGCUGGCCAUCCUUCUAAGACAGGAUAGAUCCACCUCAUCCCUCUGACCCGCUAAGCCACCACCACUACCGCGACACUGGCCUCCUGCCACCCUGCAGAACUGCUCUAACUGCUUCACCCACCGCAUUCCCACCACCGCCCCUCAGAACAGGUCUAUGGUUGCUUUCCCUCCAGAAAGACAGACUUUGACACCUGCAACAGAAUCCGUAUGGCCACCAAACAUUAGUUUUUUAUCUACUGGCCCUUUACAGAAAGCAUUUGUAAACUCCGAUCUAGACCUUGCUCUCGUUCUCUCUAAAAUGGGUUGAUAGAAACAUGCCUUGGUUCACAGGGAUUGUAAGGAUUAUGGAACACAACGAACAUAAAAACUACUUAGUAUUUAUAGUAAAUCCUCAAUAAACAUAGGUAAUUAUUAAGAUUUUCUCAUUGAUCUUAUUCUCAUUUCUUCCAAUAGAAAUUUCCCUGUAGCUAUUUAAUGAAUAUAAGUUGUCUGUUUUUGCAGAUCUAAGUAAAUUGCUUAGCUAUUAAAGAAUAGUUUCCAAAUCUAGGAAGUGUGUGUGUGUGUGUGUGUGUGUGUGUGUGUGUGUGUGUGUGUGUCGGGGGAGCUGGCCCUGAGUUAAGGGUAGGAAACCAAUAUUUGUUAAGCCCCUACUAUGUGCCAGGUGUGGGAUGAAUGCUUCCCAUGUGUUACGUCACUGAAGUUUUAUUACCCAGGAAAGGACACAUGACGCUCAGAAAGAAGGGAUAAGUAGUCAAUGACACCGUUACCAAGUCCCUGAGCUGGGACUCAAAUCCAAUGCUGCUUCCCUCCAAAGCACAUGCUCUCUCCAUUAUAGAAGCACCUAACUGUUGAGCUGUGUCCACUUCAAGGCAAGAUCUUGAACCACUGCAUGCCUCGCUGACAGCCCUGGCCAAUGCCUCUUGUCCAACGUAUUUAUCCAUGGUAACCGUUUUCCCUCUCAAGAGCGAGUUCGGACAAUAAAUUCUGUGGUCCCCACUGUAAUGUAGAAGGCUGAAAAUAUCAGCUCAGUGAGGGCUGAGGUCUUUGUUCUGUUUCCUGAGUGCACUUGGAACACGUAGGUGUUCUAAGCACCUAGGACAGAGGAUGGCACAUAGUAAGUAGGUGGUCAAUAGGUGUGUGUUGAAUUGAUGGAUGUUGAAUGGAUGAUCAGUAACCCCCACAGGUAGCUGCCACGUAAACAAAAGCUGCACAGUGGGAAGAGGGUUGUUCUGUUAAAAUAACUCCGAACAUGCCUGGACACCUGGCUCUUGGUCCCUCUACGGGGUUACAGCAAACUGUGCCUAGUUUGGGUUUGGGGUUUUCAGUGAUACAUAUUGAACACCCACUUCGUAUGGGAUAUGGACCAGUUGGGCAUCCCGGAUAAACGAGGUGAGUAUUGUUCAAGGCCUCGUAAAGAAAGGGGGUGUUGGGGAAGGGGCCUCUCAUGCAGGGUCAGAAAUUAAACACACGAAAGUGAGCCCUGGGGUGGCCUUGCCAAAGAAAAGGGACGUAGAUUAUGUGCUCAGCACAGCCAUGACAUGAAGGCAAGGCUGAUAACCCCUCCCUUUUAUGCACACAGUGUGUCAUGGGCCACUUCCAGCUGCAGAAGAAAGCCUGACCUUUGCAGAGGGGCUAUAAAAAGACAGCCGAGCUCGCUCCUUGUCUCCCCACGAUGUACCUUUAACAAAGGAAGAGAAGUGAAGGAUCUCUUGUGUUCAAGUGAAAUGUAUGUGAAGGCGACUUGGCGUUUUGUCAAGCUAAUGGCCAGAGCACAGAACGACAAACAAGAUGCUGCUUUGGCUGGGAUGGCCUCACGUGGCCCGGCGAGAGUCGGACAGUGGGGCUGCCAGCCGAGAGGGGCAUCUUUUACGCCAGCUUUCCAGCACCAUCAGACCGGGGCAGGGGACGGUUCUAGAAGAUGCUCGAGAACUCCAGAGCCAGGAGUCCGAGAUCACUGACAAAGCUAAUUCUCAAAGACUUAGAAAUCACAUCUACAUCUGCGAGGGGCUCAGAUGGAUAGGUUGAAGGGUGUCGUACCCUCCAGUGAGAGCAUUCCAAGCGGCCAAGGACUAAAACAUCCCAGAGGAUGACAGUUGCUGAAGGUUCAGAGAAAGUGAGCAACCUGUUCGUUCUCCCCAUCCCUUGCAGCCUAGGGAUGGGAUGCGGGAGGCUCGAGUCCGCAAGGAUGACGAAAAGACACGUGUUGUCAGGCACCCUUGAAAUAAUUUCUUAAAUUCCUAGAAUAUGCAACAUUGUACUAUCUCCAUACACCUGGUUUAUUUUUUUCCAGGGCUGGAACGGGUCGCUGCAUUUCUGUGGUCGAGCUCAAUACGUUGUUUCCUGGGACCUUACUGAAGGAAAUAGCAGUCUUUGAAUAUUAGUCACACCCAGGAGGUGGAAAUUAGAUAGAGGGAGGUGACAAGCAGAUUGUCAGCUUCCAUCUCACAUUUAAUUAUGAGCCAUGUGCCCGAUGGAGUCAAGGGCAGAUGGGUGGCUUUCCUGCAAUAAAUGUUAAUAUGUAA